rnacentral:sRNA from 1 species
UGUGAGUGUCGUGGACGCCGAAGAGCGACCACAGCAGACCGCUCCCUUACCAGCUCUCCAGACGACGUUAGACUUUGGAGGUGGUCCUGGCGUCAAAAUCGGCAUAAAGCAUUCCUGAAACAUCAGGUGCCGGACAUACACGGUAUUUGAGAACAGAGAAUGGACACCAAGAGAAUUGCAAUACAGUAAAUACAGCUGCUUUAUUAUGUUAUCUUAACCUCAUAACUAUUGUGAGCUUUAACAAUUCCCCCCCCCUUCUUCUCAUAACUACUGUGAGCUUUAACAAUUCCUCCUCCUCCUUCCUCUUCCUCUUCCCCCUCCUCCUCCUUCUUUUUCUUCUUCUUCUUCCUCCUCCUCCUCUUCCUCUACCUCCUCCUCCUCCUCUUCUUCUUUGUCGUCUAUAAAGUUGCAGGACUAUGACCACCACAGGGGUGCCCAGGUGGGGACUAUGCUAAAGAGUUUUGUUUUAUUUGAAAAUUAUGGCCCCAAAUCCUCACAAUACUAUGAACACAGGGUUUCUGUGUCUGUUGGGGUGGGGUGUGGAUUGUUUUACGUGAUACAGCUAGUUAGGAGGAGCUUGAGAAUCAAACCCUGCAGUCUGGUCCCAGAGUUAGGAAAAGGCAGGGUGUGAUGAAACUAAGGGGUUAUGGGGCUGGCACCGUUGCGCUUGUUGGGUAGAAGCAGGAAGUACCCUUUGUGGGUUGUACAGUUUGGUGUUUCCUGUGGACGGUGGAAAACUAAAGUAAAGGACUAUGUGAUUAGGGCCCUAUGUUCCAGGAGAGAGAGAGAGAGAGAGAGAGAGAGAGAGAGAGAGAGAGAGAGAGAGAGAGAGAGAGAGAGAGAGCUUUCGUGCGUGUUUUAAUCAUUGUGUGUAUAGAUGGGGUGGGGUGGGGUUGUGCUUCCAAGACACGUAUGCGGUGAUCAGAGGAUAAUUUUGCAGUUUCUUUCUUUCCACCACAGGUUCUGCGGAUUGACUAUAAAUUGUCAGAUUUGCAUGACAAGAACCUUUACCCACAGAGCCAUUUUCCUGGCUCUCAAUGCUCUCAGUCUUCUGAGGAAAUCUGCUUAAGCUUGCUUUCUCUAGGGUAGUGACUAAAACAUCCUUUUGCUUAAGUGCCCAGCCCAGUUAUUACUUUGGUCACCUUAGGGUAAGACCUAAUUUCUGUUUACAAAGGACUCAGAAAGCCGAGUGGAGAACAAAGACGGGUGGCGAGAUGAUCAGUUAGGCGGCAAUUUCUGUUCUAAGAGGUAAAGUCACUGAGUGAAGAGGUUCAGAUUUCAGAAAUCCAUCCGAGGGACAUUUAGGCUUGGUGAUCAGGUGGAAUGUGGUAAGGUAGAUGCAGGAACUCUGGGAGUUCAGUCUAGGUUAGCUAAGAAGACCUCACACACAGGAAGAAGACAAGAUUGGUGUGAUGUGAGGGUUGAGUUCAUACUCCACACCUCAUCGGUGUUCCGUUUAACAUGGGGUGAUACUUCACACCGCAUCUGGACAGUAGACCACAAGAGAUUUCUGUUGCCUGAGUCUAUCUGGACCCAGUGUUUACAUUAGUAAUGAUAGUCUGCUUGUAUGAUGCACACAUUGAACUAAAUCUCUUUUUCACAUCCAGUCCAAACUAAGCCAGGCCUCCCAACCUGUUACCAUUGCUGUUUUAAGGAUACUUAUCUAUCACAUUUUGAUGUAUUCGGCUUUAUUGCUAUUUCUACUCGUUAGAAUGUCAGCCUCAUUACUAUGUAUCAUCGGUACCCAGAAACGUGUGCGGCCUAACAGUAGAGACUUAAAAAGGGGUGGGGAGCUGUUGGUUGUUGAGUGACUAUCAGUUUGUUACCCACAAGUAUGUCACACUUCCUGACAGAAUGCCUGUUCACUAAUGUUGAUUUCUGAGUGCCCUAGAUGAUACAAAUCUUUCUGAUUUUGAGCUCUCUCACUUAACAAGCACAGGUAGUACCUUCUUCGUGGGCCAGGUGCUGGAUUACAACACAGAAUAAACAUGGGUCCUACCCUCAUGGAGUUUAGUCUUCCAAAGAACAGGAAAUAACAAGGCAGUAAUAAUUUUGGGUAAGUAAGCACUUUUAAAAGUUCAAGGUUCCCAAAAGGCAUUUAGAAGGUGUGGAUAGAAGGGGAACUUGCUGGCCAUGGUUCUCAGGAAUACCCAAAUGAAAGUGUUAACAGCGAUGAGAAGGCACUUCGAGAGUAAAGUUGCCUCUUAUUUAUCUGGGCACAGUAGAUUUUAGCUAAACUACUCUGUGAAAGAGAAUAGGAAGUCAUUAUAUAUUUGACCUGAAAUGAUGGGGGAAAUCAGAUUACUUAAAAUUAUAAGCAUCCACUUUCAGUCUAAGAAAUUAAGUCUUGCUGAAGUCUAACAAUUCAUCUUCCUGCUCCUUUUGCAUUGAAGAACUAUUUAGCAUGUUUAACCUGACUGCCUUAGUUAUAUUGCUUGUAUAUCUUAAGUUUAAUUAGUGGAAUGUCCUUUUGCAUCAUCUUAGAGCAUACAGAAAGUUCACACCAAAUUCAUUAGAGUGAACUAAAACUAAUCUUAACUUUUUGAGACAAAACUUUCAUUGCAACCCAAGCUGGCCUGGAACUAUGUAGCAUAGGCUUAGCCUCAAAUUCACAACACACUUCCUGCUUCAGCCACCCAAGUGCUAGGACUGCAGGUGUCAGUCACAUGCCUAGCCAAAAACUAAUCUGUAAAUGCCCAUAAAUCUUAAGAUCCUCAACGUUUAUUUUAAAGGCCUUUGGUCAAAACAGACCAUUUUCAUAUUUUAACAAUUGAACAAUGUGCUAUGUUGCCAAUUUCUAAUUUGUGAACGGCAAACCACCAGGGCCCAUAAAAUUACUGGAAAAAUUUGGUCACUAAAGGGCAAAGUCUACACUUCCACUGUCUGCUAUUAGAGCCACUAACUCCAAGCAACACUGAACACUUACACUGUACGUAUAGAUGCACACUGGACUUCAAAGGUUUUCUAUUAAAAUAGGAAACAUGAAUCAUUUUUAUUUCGAUGACAUGGCAAUAAUAUUUAUAACAUUCUAAUUAAAUACACUGCUGAUAUUAAUUCUACUUGUUUGACUUGUUUGUGACACUGCAACAUUUUAAAAUAUGUACAUGGCUCAUCUAUGGGAGGACAUCACCAAACAGAGUACUUUAUAAGGUAUGUAAAUGUAAAUAUGCCAUUAUUUUAUUGAAACAAAUUUAUUUCUAAGUUUUUUAAAGAUUCUUUUUAUUUCAUACAUAUGUGUGUAUCCACAGCAUGCGUAUUCCUGAUGCCCAUAGAGCUCAGAAGAAGGCAUUCCUGGAACUAGAAUUACAGUGUAGGUACUAGGAGCCCAACAUUUAAUAAUGCUCUUCUCCAAGAGCAGCAGCAAGUGCUUUUUACCACUAAGCCAUCUCUCCAGUCCCUAUUUAUCAGUUUUGCUGAUCUAUGAUCUCUAAAGCAUUGGUGAGAAAACACCUUGGUAUGUAUGUGUAUGUAUGCAUAUAGACGUUACAGGUCAGCCUAUGUGUCAUUCCUCAGGAGGCAUCCAUCUUGGUUUUUUUGAGAGUCUUUGACCAAGUCCUGAAGCUCAGUGAUUAGGCUGGCCAAAGAGCCCCGAGGAUCCGCCUGUCUCUGCCUUUCCAGUACUGGGAUUAUACGCACAGGCCACCUCAUAAUCACAUGCACAGCUUCUUUUUUUUUUUUUUUUUCUUUUUCUUUUUUUCGGAGCUGGGGACCGAACCCAGGGCCUUGCGUUUGCUAGGCAAGCGCUCUACCACUGAGCUAAAUCCCCAACCCCCACAUGCACAGCUUCUUAGAUGAAUGCUAAGAAUCAAACUCAGGGUUCAUGAUUCUGUGUCAUGACUUAGCUUCUCAGCUCCCAUAAAGCAUUUUUGGAUGUUAAAAUAUACUUGGCCAGGUGUGGUGGUUCAUCCUUCCAAACACAAUUCUUGGACGAUUGAGGCAAGGGGACUGCUAUGAGUUUGAGGCCAGUCUGGCCUACACAAAGAUUCUGUCUUAAACAAACAAACAAAAAACCAACAAAACAAAACACUGUAAACCAUGCUAAAAAAGAUUCACAGUAGGCUAUGGAUUUACUAAUAAACUAUGUAUGAGUAGACAGCUAGGGAUCUAUAGAACACUUCAUGUUGGCUUUUAGAAAGAAGAUUCAUGGGGAAAUGGAGAGAUGGCUCAGCAAUUAAGAACACUUGCUGCGUUUCCAGAGGACCAGGUUUGAUUACCACGGCAGCUCACAACUAUAACUCCAGUCCCAGGGGAUCUGACGCAGUCUUAUGGUUUUCCCAGGUGUGUACAGACAUAUAUGCAGGCAAAACACCCAUAAACAUAAAAAGAAAUAAAAACUUAAAAAGGAAUACUCAUGAAAAAAUUAAAAAGUGAAAGAAAAGAGAAAUUGCCCUUUGUUUUCUGGGGUCCAGUUUACCCAGAGGGGCCAAAAAAUGCAAAACCAAAACACCCCAGGGUUCUAAACCGAAUGGACACUUCAGGAACAGAAGCAAGGUGGGGGGACUCUGGAGAAAACAACUCCAGUGGUAGCUUCUUCAGAGCUUACAGUCCAGAUCCUCUGAGGACAUACAAGGAAUGACUAGUGACAUAAAUACAUGUAUGAGAUGUUUGCUAGUUCACAUAUAAACUUUAUCCAUAUGGAGUAAAUCAGUGACAUUUUUCUUUCUUUAAUUCACCAGGUUUCACUCCCUAUACUUUAAAAAGCAGCAAUAUAAAGGAAUCUUUGCUGACCCACUAAAAAAGGGCUCUAAAGAUUAACAGACAAGUACACCGCAAAUGGUUUCUGCUAGCCUUUAUUUGUGAAAGUUUACACAAAAAUCUCCCAACAGGUGAGCCUAUAUAAACCCCACAUGCCUCUUCCCAUUAACAAACAGAAGAUGGCUCUGAUGGGGGUAGGGUGGGGGGUCAUGACAAUGGUACGGAACAAGGUUUAUUGAAACUGUCUUAUUCUCAAAUUAUUUUGAAUAUGCUGAAAAUGAAAGGAAGCAGGUAAUAACCUGUUUAUAAAGCUGAUGUGCAUUUGUGCAAGCCUACUGCCAAAGGCAAAUAAAUGCUCUUCAAGCACAAUGUCCAAGUUGGUUGUUUUUGGCAUGAAUUAAAACAAACGAAAGGACUUGAAAUAAUUUCAGUUCUACAAAGCUUAUGUUUACAGAUGUUCUUGUUUACAAGAGCUUGGAAACAAAACCAUGGGCAAAAUGGUCUAUUUUUCUCCUCUCUGAAACAUUGACAUUUUCCAGGACAGAAAACAGAAAAUUAGUAGAGUGGUUGUCAUUGCUCCUAAAAGAGGGGAAGGCACAAGUCAGAAAAUAGGAGUCUCGUGUUAGGCUAAUGGUACACACCAUGGUUUUGCAUUUAAAAGUCUACAAAUGGGUUUUGACCCAAAAUUUAUUUUCUUAUUGUUUAUUCUUUUCAUACUUAAAUUGUUCUUCUGUCACUUGAUGUAUGGAUGUUACAGAUUUCUGACCAUCUGCUGGUGCCAUGGUGAGGACUUGCAUGCUAAGAUCUUAGAAGUGAGACCUAUCAUUUUUCAACAGCAGAUGGCACUGUUGUACCAGAGAACACUUGAUGCCAUGCAGGCGUUUAUGGGAGUCCUAAGACAAAGGCUUUUGAGUGUAUAGUAACUGGAACCUUAACAGAACAGCCUGAUACUUAACCACAUAAAGCAUUCCUGUUCACCUUCGUACUUCAUCCAGGUCAUCUUAACAGUGUUCUCUGAUAACUUCAAUAUUUCACUUCUUUACUGUAAGCAACAUGGGUCUAAGUCCUGUAAUUCUCAGGACUGCAAUUAAGACAAUCCCUGUAACAACAGGUCAGCAGGGUUAAAAGAUCACCCACUUUCCCAGGAGAAGUAGGAAAGACCUUAAGUCAUAAAUGAGUAUUUCUCGUGUUUACAAGCAUUUGUACUUACUUUCCCCCCAGUGCAGGCAAUCAGGCACAGAGCCUUCCACGUGCUAGGUAGGCACUCUACCUACCUACCUGAGGGACACUCCCAGAACUACUUUGAGGUACCUAAAACUCCCACCAAGUGAACCUUGGCUUUGUUUUUACAACAAAUAUUUUCAAGUAUUUACUAUCUGUGACUUUCCCAGAUGUCCAAGUUAAACCCUUUAUGUCCACGUCUCUGAGACAACACUGAAGAACAGGAAUUAGAUCAGUGAUUGGCCCGUACAAGGGCUGGUAAAAUUUACUCAUUCUUCCUGGUAGAAGUUAUGUGAAAAGUUCAAGCAACUACCCAAAAGUCCAAGAGGACACACACAGAACUCAGCGGUGAAGUGAACAAAUGAUCAUGUAGAAAAUGGGCAAAAGCCACCAACAGACAUUUCACCGACAAGAACGUACAGAUGGCUAAUGACAAGCACAAGAAAGGAUGCUCAACACCAUCUGCCAUUUGGAGAAUGCAAAUUAAAACCAUGAUGAGACAUUACAGGCACCUAUUCAAGGGGCUAAGUUAAAAUAACAAUGAUAAAGAUGAAGGAGAAUGUGGACAUGGAGCAUGCUCUAGCCACUCUAGACAAGGGCAGGAGGCUUCAUUUAGAACUGUGUGCGCUUCCCACACACCAUAGCAAUUGCCCUCUUUAGCAUCUAUCCCAGAGUGAUGAAGACGUACAUUCACAUAAGAACUUUAGUGGUUAAGGGCCAAAUCACCAGACCCACCCAUAUGCCCUUUAAGCACAUUGCAGUACCAUCCAUAACCUGGAGGAAAAUCAGUGUGCAACACCUUUGAGGGGCACCUCCUGGGAAUUAUGCUGAGUGGAGAAAGUCAACCUCCAAAGGUUGCACUCUUGAUGACCCAUUUACAUAACAGAGUUACAAAGGUUCAGAACCAGUGAGCAGAUUAGGGAGCCAGAGCCUGGGGUGAAGAAGGGAGUGGCCAGCUACAACAGCCAUGUGAUGGAGCUACUCUACCUGAGAUGACCGACAGGACCUAUGAGUGAUAAUUGGACAGAACUAAACACACAUACACCAGGACUUCAAGCAGUUGAGCACAAACAUUUUAAUGGUCUAAAAUGAGAUUUUCUUUUAAGAGAUUAUCUACAGUUCAAAGCUCACUUUGUUUUGUGUCCCACCCAUGACCCUUUUAGAAGACAUAAAAUUAUGAAGGA